rnacentral:rRNA from 1 species
AUAAAUAAGCGGUGGAAAAGAAACCAACAGGGAUUCCCUCAGUAGCGGCGAGCGAAGAGGGAUGAGCCCAGCGCCGAAUUCCGCGCCCGCAAGGGCGUCUGGAACAUGUGGCGUUUAGGAGGAAUCUCUCCGGAGGCAGACGGUGUCGCAAGUCCCCCUGAACGGGGCUGUGAUCCAGAGCGGGUGCGAGGCCCAUAGCUGGUACCGUCUCCUCCGGGUGUCGCCUCCUCGGAGUCGGGUUGCUUGGGAGUGCAGCCCUAAUUGGGUGGUAAACUCCACCUAAGGCUAAAUACGUCCGUGAGACCGAUAGCAAACAAGUACCGUGAGGGAAAGUUGCAAAGAACUUUGAAGAGAGAGUUCAAGAGUACGUGAAACCGCUCAGAGGCAAACGGGUGGGCCCACGAAAGCCGAAGGCGGGGGGAUUCAGCCGAGAGGACGGCGGGGCAUGGCUGGCUGGUUCGACGGACCGUGCCAGGCCGGGUCAGCUCCCGAGACCCGUCGCCUCUCGACGCAUUUCCCUCUGCUUAGUAGGACGCCGCAACCCGUUGGAGCCCGCAGCCAUAAGGGAGAGACUUCGGAAGGUAGCCAGUGAGUUCUUCUUCGGAGGCGCAAGCUGGUCCUAAGCCCCCUCUCCUGGUGUUUGUGGCCCAACGGUGGUCUUGAGUCCCUCCACGGGACGUUGCCGAGCCCUUCUCGAACGAGCGGGAACGCACGGCAGGCUGUCCUCCGCGACCCAAAAUCGGUCGCUCCACGCGUGCAGUGGACGACCUUCGGAGGCAGCUGCUGGAACGUGCGACUCCUGCGCUGGGCACAGGCAGUUGGCGGCGAGUAGGUCGGUCACCCACCCGACCCCCAAGGAGUCUAACAUGUGCGCAAGUCAUUGGGUCUUGGACAAGCCCAAAGGCGCAAUGAAAGUGAAGACCGGCACUGAAGUCGGUGGAGUUGGGAAACUGGGCCAGUGAUGGCUCAGUUGCACCAACGGCCCGUCCCGUCCGCAUUGUCGGUGGGGCGGAGCGAGAGCGUACACGUUGGGACCCGAAAGAUGGUGAACUAUGCCUGGGCAGGACGAAGCCAGAGGAAACUCUGGUGGAGGUCCGCAGCGGUUCUGACGUGCAAAUCGAUCGUCAGACCCGGGUAUAGGGGCGAAAGACUAAUCGAACCAUCUAGUAGCUGGUUCCCUCCGAAGUUUCCCUCAGGAUAGCUGGCGUUCGAGGGAGAUCAGUCUCAUCCGGUAAAGCGAAUGAUUAGAGGCCUUGGGGCCGAAACGACCUCAACCUAUUCUCAAACUUUAAAUGGGUGAGAAGUCCGGCUUGCCCGACCGAAGCCCGGACGACAGGAUGAGAGCGCCCAGUGGGCCACUUUUGGGCGCUCCAGCGUCGAGCCCAUACCCGGCCGCCGCGGCAGAUGAUUUAGAAGCUUAUGCCGCGGUGAGUAGGAGGGUCGCAGUGGCGUGCGUUGAAGGUGCCGGGCGCAAGCCCGCCUGGAGCCGCCACUGGUGCAGAUCUUGGUGGUAGUAGCAAAUACUCAAGUGAGAACCUUGAGGACUGAGGUGGAGAAGGGUUCCAUGUGAACAGCAGUUGAACAUGGGUCAGUCGGUCCUAAGGAAUAGGAGAAGUCCGUUCCGAAGCGGGACACUUAUUUGACGGAUUAGUCCCGCCCACUGACCGAAAGGGAAUCGGGUUAAUAUUCCCGAACCCGGACAAGGAGAUCGGCCCCUCGGGGUCAAGUGCGGUAACGCAACUGAACUCGGAGAAGUCGACGGGAGUCCCGGAGAGAGUUUUCUUUUCUUUGUAAGGGUUUGGCUCCCUGGAAUCGGUUCGUCCGGAGAUAGGGAUGCUAUCCCCGUAAAGCAUCGCGCCUCCUGCGGUGUCCGGAGCGCUCCURUCGGCCCUUGAAAAUCCGAGGG